UUUCAAAUUCCCUUUACUUACUUGUUACCUAAGUAAUGGAAUCUCAUCUCCAUAUGCUAACUAUCCCAUGUGCAAUUGGUUUUUUUUGCUAUAUUACUUGUUGGUAUCUUAUCAACUUUGAUUGUCACGACAUUGCACUUCACUUCACAAGUUCUUCCACGAGAUUCCUUAACCAUAUUGCUUGAAAAACACUUAAGAGGUGUUGAAAUACACACAACUUCAAAAAAUGUUAGAGCUACCAUGACUUCCUUAAUCGAACACCAGUAGAUCGGUGCUCCUCCAAGCAUGAAGAUGUAACCAGCUAUAAAUUUCCUAUCAUUCUUUUUCAGUGGCCGUCUAGAGGGUGUGCGAAAGGAGCAACUGCACAUGGCUCUAAAUUCUAGGGGACACACAUCAGUGAACACCACCUCAUGUUGGGAUUUGGUUUUGCUUCCUGCAUCUUUGCUGAAGUUUCAUCAGUUGCCAAGCAUUUAUGAUCCGUCACAUCAAGGCCUGUCUUGGAUGUUUUAUUCCUUAACAUAUGUGCUUUCAGAAUCAAUCUUCCUUAACAUACUUAAGCUUGCAAGGUUUUCCUCUUCUUCUUGUGGAUCUUUCUUACUGGAAGAUUAGGUGAGAAUGCAAUGUAAAGUUUGGGACAGAUUUAGGAACUUUCUUAAUGUAAAGUUUCAUUAGUAAGAUAGUUUCUUAUCUUGGAAUAUAAGAUUAGGAAUGGAUUAUAUGCUUUUGACUUUAUAAAACUGCAAAUUCCUUAUUAUGUUGCAUUUGUUUUCUCUCCUAAUUAUGAUCAAGCUUUCUAUUA